rnacentral:tRNA from 1 species
GUAGCUCAGUGGUAGAGCGCUUGCCCAGCACGUGUGAGACCCUGGGUUCGAUCCCCAGC